GCAGCAGUGGGGAAAUUUUGGACAAUGGGCGAAAGCUGAUCCCAGCGAACGCCGCGUGAAGGGACGAAGCCCUUCGGGGGUGUAAAACUCUGUUGUGAGGGACGAAAUAAGAUCUGGAGGGAAAUGCCCAGAUCGAUGACGGUACCUCACGAGAAAGCCCCGGGCUAAACUACGUGCCAGCAGCCGCGGUAAUACGUAGGGGGGCGAGCGUUACCCGGAUUCACUGGGCGUAAAGGGGGCGCAGGCGAUCCAGUAUGUCGGGUGUGAAAUCCCACAGCUCAACUGUGGAAUUGCGCCCGAAACUACUGGGUUUGGGGCUGGUAGAGGGAGACGGAACUGCUGGUGUAGGGGUGAAAUCCGUAGAUAUCAGCAGGAACGCCGGUGGGGAAGCCGGUCUCCUGGGCCAAGCCCGACGCUGAGGCCCGAAAGCUAGGGGAGCAAACCGGAUUAGAUACCCGGGUAGUCCUAGCCGUAAACGAUGCCCACUAGGUGUGGGGGAGUCAUUCCUCCGUGCUGUAGCUAACGCGUUAAGUGGGCCGCCUGGGGAGUACGCCCGCAAGGGUGAAACUCAAAGGAAUUGGCGGGACCCCGCACAAGCGGUGGAGCGUGUGGUUUAAUUGGAUGCUAAGCCAAGAACCUUACCAGGGCUUGACAUGCAGGUGGUACCAACCCGAAAGGGAAGGGACCCUUUCCUUUUGGAAAGGGAGCCUGCACAGGUGGUGCACGGCCGUCGUCAGCUCGUGCCGUGAGGUGUUGGGUUAAGUCCCGCAACGAGCGCAACCCCUGCCCUUAGUUGCCAGCGGUUCGGCCGGGCACUCUAAGGGGACCGCCGGCGACGAGCCGGAGGAAGGAGGGGACGACGUCAGGUACUCGUGCCCUUUAUGCCCUGGGCUACACACGCGCUACAAUGGGUGGUACAGUGGGUCGCGACCUCGCGAGAGGGAGCCAAUCCCCAAAACCAUCCUCAGUUCAGAUCGCAGGCUGCAACCCGCCUGCGUGAAGCCGGAAUCGCUAGUAAUCGCGGAUCAGCCAUGCCGCGGUGAAUACGUUCCCGGGGUU
rnacentral:rRNA from 1 species